UUUAUCGGAGAGUUUGAUCCUGGCUCAGGACGAACGCUGGCGGCGUGCCUAAUACAUGCAAGUCGAGCGGACAGAUGGGAGCUUGCUCCCUGAUGUUAGCGGCGGACGGGUGAGUAACACGUGGGUAACCUGCCUGUAAGACUGGGGUAACUCCGGGAAACCGGGGCUAAUACCGGAUGGUUGUUUGAACCGCAUGGUUCAGACAUAAAAGGUGGCUUCGGCUACCACUUACAGAUGGACCCGCGGCGCAUUAGCUAGUUGGUGAGG
rnacentral:rRNA from 1 species